AGAGUUUGAUCAUGGCUCAGGAUGAACGCUGGCGGCGUGCUUAACACAUGCAAGUCGAACGAACCUUCGGGUUAGUGGCGGACGGCUGAGUAACGCGUAGGAACGUACCCCAAAGUGAGGGAUAAGCCAUCGAAAGAUGGUCUAAUACCGCAUGUGCUCUACGGAGUAAAGUCUUCGGACGCUAUGGGAGCGGCCUGCGUAUGAUUAGCUUGUUGGUGAGGUAAUGGCUCACCAAGGCGACGAUCAUUAGCUGGUCUGAGAGGAUGAUCAGCCAGACUGGGACUGAGACACGGCCCAGACUCCUACGGGAGGCAGCAGUAGGGAAUCUUCCACAAUGGGCGAAAGCCUGAUGGAGCAACGCCGCGUGCAGGACGACGGCCUUCGGGUUGUAAACUGCUUUUAUGAGUGAAGAUUAUGACAGUAGCUCAAGAAUAAGGAUCGGCUAACUACGUGCCAGCAGCCGCGGUCAUACGUAGGAUCCAAGCGUUAUCCGGAAUUACUGGGCGUAAAGAGUUGCGUAGGUGGUCUGUUAAGCAGAGUAUGAAAUCGCACGGCUCAACCGUGUACACGUAUUCUGAACUGGCAGACUANAGGACGAGAGAGGUUACUAGAAUUUCUUGUGUAGGAGUGAAAUCCGUAGAUAUAA
rnacentral:rRNA from 1 species